UGCGGGAUGCCGAAGACGGGUUCCGCAUCAGAGUACUUGCUGAUAAUUCAGGAGAUUCGCAAUGAGC
rnacentral:sRNA from 16 species